GGCCAACGAUGAGAAAUCCGAAGGCUUGUUUCUCAACAUUCGCAGUGGCCGCCAGAGAGCUUUCGCCUUUGACAGGCUUGAGAGCUGAUGCUGCCUUAAUCCUUCCUUGGAUGUCUGAGGCC